UAAACGAUGAAUGCUAGCUGUUAGCGAUAUACUGUUAGCGGCACAGAGAAAUCGUUAAGCAUUCCACCUGGGGAGUACGCCGGCAACGGUGAAACUCAAAGGAAUUGACGGGGGCCCGCACAAGCGGAGGAACAUGUGGUUUAAUUCGAUGAUACGCGAGGAACCUUACCUGGGCUUAAAUUGCAGUGGAAUAACGUGGAAACAUGUUAGCCUUCGGGCCGCUGUGAAGGUGCUGCAUGGUUGUCGUCAGCUCGUGCCGUGAGGUGUCGGCUUAAGUGCCAUAACGAGCGCAACCCUCAUCGAUAGUUACUAACAGGUUAAGCUGAGGACUCUAUCGAGACUGCCGACGUAAGUCGUGAGGAAGGUGGGGAUGACGUCAAAUCAGCACGGCCCUUACGUCCAGGGCUACACACGUGUUACAAUGGGGGGUACAAAGGGCAGCUACCUGGCGACAGGAUGCUAAUCUCAAAAACCUCUCUCAGUUCGGAUUGGAGUCUGCAACCCGACUCCAUGAAGCUGGAUUCGCUAGUAAUCGCGCAUCAGCCACGGCGCGGUGAAUACGUUCCCGGGCCUUGUACACACCGCCCGUCAAGCCAUGGGAGCCGGGGGGACCUGAAGUAUGCAACCGUAAGGAGCGUCCUAGGGUAAAACUGGUGACUGGGGCU
rnacentral:rRNA from 1 species